UGAUUGAUGAGGUGUAUGACAAUUCAUGGAUCAGAUGUAGGAAGCAAUAAUUGAAUCGGGAUAGCAUGCAUAGGGCUUAAGAUCAGGCCGAAAGGUGUAGUCGAUGGACAACAAGUGAAUAUUCUUAUACUAACCCUUGUUGGUCUCGAGGGACGGAGGAGGCUAGGUUAGCCGAAAGGUGGUUUAUCGAUUCAAGGAAACAAGGUAACCUUUCUUUUUUUCUCAAGGUAAGAAGGCCUAGAGGAAAUGCCACGAGCCAAUGUCCAAGUACCAGGCGCCACGGUGCUUAAGUAACCCAUGCCAUACUCCUAGGAAAAACUCGAACACAGGUGGGUUGGUAGAUAAUACCUAGGGGCACAAGACAACUCUCUCUAAGGAACUCGGCAAAAUAGCCCCGUAACUUCGGGAGAAGGGGUGCUUCCUCACAAAGGGGGUCGCGGUGACCAGGCCCGGGCGACUGUUUACCAAAAACAUAGGUCUCUGCAAAGUCAUAAGACCAUGUAUGGGGCUAACGCCUGCCUAGUAUCGAAAGGUCAAGGAAGUCGGUGACCUGAUGAUAAGGGAGUCGGAGACUGAAGCACCACUGAACAGCUGUCAUAACUGUAAUGGUCCUAGGGUAGCAAAAUUCCUUAUCAGAUAAGUCCGACCUGCAUGAAAGGCAUAACGAUUUGGGCAUUGUCUAAGAGAGAGGCUUGGUGAAAU
rnacentral:ncRNA from 1 species